GACGAACGCUGGCGGCGUGCUUAACACAUGCAAGUCACGGGGGCUGGAGCAAUCCAGUAACCGGCGAACGGGUGCGUAACACGUGAGCAACCUGCCGUACUCAGGGGGAUAGCCGGCCCAACGGCCGGGUAAUACCGCAUACGUUCUCGCAGGGGAGUCCCUGUGGGAGGAAACCUCCGGGGGAGUACGAGGGGCUCGCGGCCUAUCAGCUAGAUGGCGGGGUAACGGCUCACCAUGGCGACGACGGGUAGCUGGUCUGAGAGGAUGGUCAGCCGGAUUGGGACUGAGAUACGGCCCAGACUCCUACGGGGGCAGCAAUUAGGAAUCUUGCGCAAUGGGCGAAAGCCUGACGCAGCGACGUCGCGUGGGGA
rnacentral:rRNA from 1 species